UACGAAGGGGCUAGCGUUGCUCGGAAUCACUGGGCGUAAAGGUGCGUAGGCGGGUCUUUAAGUCAGGGUGAAAUCCUGGAGCUCAACUCCAGAACUGCCUUUGAUACUGAAGAUCUUGAGUUCGGAGAGGUGAGUGGAACUGCGAGUGUAGAGGUGAAAUUCGUAGAUAUUCGCAAGAACACCAGUGGCGAAGGCGGCUCACUGGCCCGAUACUGACGCUGAGAGUA
rnacentral:rRNA from 1 species